rnacentral:rRNA from 1 species
ACUCCUACGGGAGGCAGCAGUGGGGAAUAUUGCACAAUGGGCGCAAGCCUGAUGCAGCCAUGCCGCGUGUAUGAAGAAGGCCUUCGGGUUGUAAAGUACUUUCAGCAGUGAGGAAGGUGGGGUAUGUUAAUAGCAUACUCAUUUGUACGUUAGCUGCAGAAGAAGCACCGGCUAACUCCGUGCCAGCAGCCGCGGUAAUACGGAGGGUGCGAGCGUUAAUCGGAAUUACUGGGCGUAAAGCGCAUGCAGGUGGUUUGUUAAGUCAGAUGUGAAAGCCCGGGGCUCAACCUCGGAAUUGCAUUUGAAACUGGCAAACUAGAGUACUGUAGAGGGGGUUAGAAUUUCAGGUGUAGCGGUGAAAUGCGUAGAGAUCUGAAGGUAAUACCGGUGGCGAAGGCGGCCCCUGGACAGAUACUGACACUCAGAUGCGAAAGCGUGGGAGCGAAACAGGAUUAG